rnacentral:misc_RNA from 1 species
AAAGUCGUAACAAGGUUUCCGUAGGUGAACCUGCGGAAGGAUCAUUAACACUUUUUAUUAUUUUGUUUUUUUUCUAAAACAAAAUUUAAAACCCCACAAUUUUGGAUGAAUUUAAUUAAUUUAUUUUUUAUUUUAUUUUUUUUUAUUAUAACCCUAUUAUUUGACUAACAUUUUUAUUUAAUUAUUAAAAAAUUAAAAAAACAACUCUUAACAACGGAUAUCUUGUCUCUC